GAUGAACGCUGGCGGCGUGCCUAAUACAUGCGAGUCGAGCGAACAGACGAGGAGCUUGCUCCUCUGACGUUAGCGGCGGACGGGUGAGUAACACGUGGAUAACCUACCUAUAAGACUGGGAUAACUUCGGGAAACCGGAGCUAAUACCGGAUAAUAUAUUGAACCGCAUGGUUCAAUAGUGAAAGACGGUUUUGCUGUCACUUAUAGAUGGAUCCGCGCCGCAUUAGCUAGUUGGUAAGGUAACGGCUUACCAAGGCAACGAUGCGUAGCCGACCUGAGAGGGUGAUCGGCCACACGGGAACUGAGACACGGUCCAGACUCCUACGGGAGGCAGCAGUAGGGAAUCUUACGCAAUGGGCGAAAGCCUGACGGAGCAACGCCGCGUGAGUGAUGAAGGUCUUCGGAUCGUAAAACUCUGUUAUUAGGGAAGAACAAAUGUGUAAGUAACUAUGCACGUCUUGACGGUACCUAAUCAGAAAGCCACGGCUAACUACGUG
rnacentral:rRNA from 1 species